rnacentral:rRNA from 1 species
UACGAAGGGGGCUAGCGUUGCUCGGAAUCACUGGGCGUAAAGCGCACGUAGGCGGAUCUUUAAGUCAGGGGUGAAAUCCUGGAGCUCAACUCCAGAACUGCCUUUGAUACUGGGGAUCUCGAGUCCGGGAGAGGUGAGUGGAACUCCGAGUGUAGAGGUGAAAUUCGUAGAUAUUCGGAAGAACACCAGUGGCGAAGGCGGCUCACGUGGGUCAUUACGUGACGCUGAGGCAC